GCCUACGCCUCGUCAGCCUCCCUCACGAGGGCUGCCGGGUCCUGGCGGCUCCCUCGAGUGGCCUCGAUACCGGAAAAAAGCCCUGCCUGUCCCCAUCCCCCGCUCCGCUGCAGAACGCGUCUGCCCCGGAGCCGAUCGCCUCGGCAAGAUGUUAUGAUCGUGUUCAUUGGCUGGUCAGAUCAUCGAGAAAGAUAUUGAAGAGGACUGGCCCUAGUACUGAGCCCUGGGGAACUCCACUAGUGACUGGUCUCCAGCUGGAUUUCACUCCAUUCACCACGACUCUUUGGGCCCAGCUACCCGGCUAGUUUCUUACCCAACGAAGCGUAAGCCAGUCCAAGCCAUGAGCAGACAGAUUCUUGAGGAGACUGCUGUGGGAGAUGGUGUCAAAAGCCUUACUGAAGUCAAGGUAGACCACAUCCACAGCCUUUCCCUCAUCCACCAAGGACGUCACUUUGUCAUAGAAGGAGAUCAGGUUCGUCAAGCAGGACCUGCCUUUCAUAAACCCAUGCUGACUGGGCCUGAUCGCCUGGUUGCCCUGCAAGUGCCACAUGAUGACACACAAGUUUACCUGAAGAGAAGGAGAAAAAAAGAAAAGAAAACAACCCAAGGAAACACACACAUAUAUAUAUCUGAUUUCUCCAUCAAUGUCAAGAAAGAUAAAGAAGUAAAAGCACAAUACUAAAGACAUUAUGAUCUGUGUGAGACACAGGCUACCCUGAAUUCAGAUGUUCAGAACUCAAUGACUAUGAUGAGAUGUCUGCCAUGGAUCAGGAAUAGUCAUAACCUUGUGUGUGAUGAUGGGCAGAAACAUAUAUUUAUCUAAAUAAAUUUAGAGCUGUUUCCCUAUGGACAUUUUUACUACGCUGUAUGGCUAUCAGAAUUUAAUUAGUACUGCCUUAGUUUAGCUUUACGUCUUUGUAUUGAUAUUAAAAGCAACAGUUAAAGUAAAACUAGAGAAAAGUGAUGUUGAAUCUGGCCCAAUUCAUUUUUUGGUAAUUGUGUAUUUUAAAAAGUUGGAAAUGAUCUGAGUAUGAAAGAAUAAAACAAGUACCUUCCUUUAAAAUAUUUUCUUCCUUUAAAAAUAAAUAAAUAAAUAAAUAAUAAAUAAAUAAAUAAAUGUUAAUUUUCUUUCUCCACAGUAUGAUGAAAAAGACUGUCUUGGAAACAUUUUUAAAAAUCUUAUUAAAAACUCUAUUUUGACAAUAAAAUAUAUGUAUACAACAAUUGCCGGAAAAGCAAAAUGACAAAGAAACAAUAUAUCAUAUUAACUUUGAAACAUUUAAAGCAAUCAAUUGAAAGCCUUUUAAAGCAGCACCUUCUGAUUGUAGAAACCCCUUUAAAACAUCAAAAUGGCCUGUAGAUGUUUUGGCAUUUUUGUUAUUGUUUGUUUGCUUGUUUCAAACUGGAAAACCUGGAAAAGUUCUCAGUAAACUGCAGACAAAUUGCUUUGAGAUUCUGGAAAUAUGUUAGCUAUAGUAAAGUAUUCCAUAUUACACAGUCUGAGACAGGAGGAGGGAAAAAGUGUGACAGCUGGCUUUGUGGGUACAUGAGCACAUUUCCCUUCAGAAAGCUGUCAGGCAAAACCAACUUCCUUGUUAUAAUUAAAUUACAUUACAUAUAUUGUUGAAAAUUCAUCUAUAUUGCUUCUAAAAAUAAUUAAUUGAUUCAAUGGCCAAAAUGCUGUCAUUUUACAAAAUUA